rnacentral:rRNA from 1 species
CCCGCACAAGCGGUGGAGCAUGUGGUUAAUUCGACGCAACGCGAAGAACCUUACCAGGGCUUGACAUCCCCUGACCGCGUAUGAAAGUACGUUUUCACCCUCGGGUGACAGGGAGACAGGUGGUGCAUGGUUGUCGUCAGCUCGUGUCGUGAGAUGUUGGGUUAAGUCCCGCAACGAGCGCAACCCCUACGUUUAGUUGCUAACGCGUGAAGGCGAGCACUCUAGACGAACUGCCGUUGACAAAACGGAGGAAGGUGGGAUGACGUCAAAUCAUCAUGCCCCUUAUGUUCUGGGCUACACACGUGCUACAAUGGCCGGUACAGACGGACGCAAAGCCGCGAGGUGGAGCAAAUCCUAAAAAGCCGGUCUCAGUUCGGAUUGCAGGCUGCAAUUCGCCUGCAUGAAGAUGGAGUUGCUAGUAACCGCAGGUCAGCUAUACUGCGGUGAAUACGUUCCCGGGGCUU